CAGCCGCCACGGUAAUACGUAGGUCCCGAGCGUUGUCCGGAUUUAUUGGGCGUAAAGCGAGCGCAGGCGGUUAGAUAAGUCUGAAGUUAAAGGCUGUGGCUUAACCAUAGUACGCUUUGGAAACUGUUUAACUUGAGUGCAAGAGGGGGGAGUGGAAUUCCAUGUGUAGCGGUGAAAUGCGUAGAUAUAUGGAGGAACACCGGUGGCGAAAGCGGCUCUCUGGCUUGUAACUGACGCUGAGGCUCGAAAGCGUGGGGAGCAAAUGGGAUUAGAUACCCCUGUAGUCCCUGUCUCUUAUACC
rnacentral:rRNA from 1 species